rnacentral:lncRNA from 1 species
ACAAACAAAAAAUUUGGACCAUCAACAUCUUGGAGCUCAACCUGCUGAGUACCCAAGAGUUCCAGCCUAGAGCAAAGAAGAGGUUGGAGGGAAUAACAGCAGAGGAUCCCAAGACUGACGCUCUCUGAGAGAUUGCCUUUUGACAUCUUCAUCUGCAAAAGGAUCCUGCCGCCAGGACUCCGUCUGUGGAGUCAAUUCAACGUCUCUUCUGUCCUCAAGACCCCUUCACUGGUCUCUGGGACCUGGCGCUGCUGGGGGCAGAGAGCAGCUCAGGAAGAAUGUGCUCCACAGCUGGAAGCAAGGUUAGGAGAAAAAUGGUCUUUCUCUUUGUGUACGUGAGACUGUGAUAGGGAGCCAGGUGCCGAUAAAAUGGUGGAGACGGUCGUAAUUUGCAAAGU